ACACAUGCAAGUCGAGGGGCAGCACAGGGUAGCAAUACUUGGGUGGCGACCGGCGCACGGGUGAGUAACGCGUAUGCAACUUACCUAUCAGAGGGGGAUAGCCCGGCGAAAGUCGGAUUAAUACCCCAUGAAACAGGGGUCCCGCAUGGGAAUAUUUGUUAAAGAUUCAUCGCUGAUAGAUAGGCAUGCGUUCCAUUAGGCAGUUGGCGGGGUAACGGCCCACCAAACCGACGAUGGAUAGGGGUUCUGAGAGGAAGGUCCCCCGCAUUCGUACUGAGACACGGACCAAACUCCUACGGGAGGCAGCAGUGAGGAAUAUUGGUCAAUGGCCGAGAGGCUGAACCAGCCAAGUCGCGUGAAGGAAGAAGGAUCUAUGGUUUGUAAACUUCUUUUAUAGGGGAAUAAAGUGGAGGACGUGUCCUUUUUUGUAUGUACCCUAUGAAUAAGCAUCGGCUAACUCCGUGCCAGCAGCCGCGGUAAUACGGAGGAUGCGAGCGUUAUCCGGAUUUAUUGGGUUUAAAGGGUGCGUAGGUGGUGAUUUAAGUCAGCGGUGAAAGUUUGUGGCUCAACCAUAAAAUUGCCGUUGAAACUGGGUUACUUGAGUGUGUUUGAGGUAGGCGGAAUGCGUGGUGUAGCGGUGAAAUGCAUAGAUAUCACGCAGAACUCCGAUUGCGAAGGCAGCUUACUAAACCAUAACUGACACUGAAGCACGAAAGCGUGGGGAUCAAACAGG
rnacentral:rRNA from 1 species